rnacentral:rRNA from 1 species
CCUACGGGGGGCUGCAGUGGGGAAUAUUGGACAAUGGGGGGAACCCUGAUCCAGCCAUGCCGCGUGUGUGAAGAAGGCCCUCGGGUUGUAAAGCACUUUCAGUGAGGAAGAACGCCUGGUGGUUAAUACCCAUCAGGAAAGACAUCACUCACAGAAGAAGCACCGGCUAACUCCGUGCCAGCAGCCGCGGUAAUACGGAGGGUGCGAGCGUUAAUCGGAAUUACUGGGCGUAAAGCGCGCGUAGGUGGCUUGAUAAGCCGGUUGUGAAAGCCCCGGGCUCAACCUGGGAACGGCAUCCGGACCUGUCAAGCUAGAGUGCAGGAGAGGAAGGUAGAAUUCCCGGUGUAGCGGUGAAAUGCGUAGAGAUCGGGAGGAAUACCAGUGGCGAAGGCGGCCUUCUGGACUGACACUGACACUGAGGUGCGAAAGCGUGGGUAGCAAACAGGAUUAGAUACCCUAGUAGUC